GACGAACGCUGGCGGCGUGCCUAACACAUGCAAGUCGAACGGAGAAUUAGCAAUAAUUCUUAGUGGCGAACGGGUGAGUAACGCGUAGACAACCUACCCUUUAGAUGGGGACAACACCGCGAAAGUGGUGCUAAUACCGAAUAUUGCUUGAGAAGCGCAUGCUUUUCAAACUAAAGAUGGCCUCUAUUUAUAAGCUAUCGCUAAAGAAUGGUUCUGCGUCUGAUUAGCUAGUUGGUGAGAUAAAAGCUCACCAAGGCAACGAUCAGUAGCCGGUCUGAGAGGAUGAACGGCCACACUGGGACUGAGACACGGCCCAGACUCCUACGGGAGGUAGCAGUGGGGAAUCUUCCGCAAUGGACGAAAGUCUGACGGAGCAACGCCGCGUGAGUGAUGAAGGUUUUCGGAUCGUAAAACUCUGUUGUUAAGGACGAAUGUAUAGAUUGUGAAUAAUGGUUUAUAAUGACGGUACUUAACGAGGAAGCCACGGCUAACUACGUGCCAGCCGCCGCAGUAA
rnacentral:rRNA from 1 species